AGCGUAUACAAAUUGUAUGAGCGCUAAAUGUUUAUAAAUAGCUUAUAUGUGUUAUAUACAGUGUAAAUACAACUUUCAUACAAUAUAUAUAUGUUACGUCCCGUAUUUUUAUACAUUGGGACAACCCGGAUUAACUAUGAUAAAUUAAGGCCAAGACUAUUCCGGGAUUUGAAGUCGGGACUUUUGACCUUUGAUUUUAUUUUGAGACAUAAGUUGUGUAUGAAAUUGUUAGCUUGAACACUUAGGAAAAAUUGGGACCAUAAUUCAUAAAUUUGGAAAUUAAAACUCUUGCAAAAAAAAAAAAAAAAAAAAAAGGAAGAUGUGUGGAUUGAAGUGGUCCCCACACAUUGUUGUGGCCAAUUUUAAUUGGUCCAACACAUGUGUGGGCCCAAAGACAAUAAGAGAUAUUUUAAGGGGACUUAAAAGAUGACCACUUAGUCAUCUUUCUCUCAUUUCACAUUCCCACACUUAGAAAAUAAAGCAAGAAGUUGAGGAACCAAAACCAUGGCUCACGGCCAAGACCAUGGAAAACCAAAUCCAAAUCAAGCCCCUCUAAAAAUAUUUCUUGGGUACAAAUCAACUAAUUAGAGGUCCCUAAGUAACUUGGAAGCAUUGUUGGAGUGAUCAAGUCUUUCAUUUAAGAGAUUUGCAAACCCUAGCCUAUUGGUGGAUUGAAGAAGAAAGACCUUGGGGAGCCCGAGGCGUGGAUUGGAAAUUUACUUUAGAUUGACUAUUUUGGAAGUGCGUACGAGGUACAGACGCACAGCCUGGUGAUCCACCUGUUUAGGACACCCUUUCUGCUAUUCGGAGUGCUCC